ensembl:lncRNA novel transcript
CGUAUCAGGAACAACACCAAAUCAGAGGUGACUUGUGCCCCAUCAGAGACUUUAACACCCCAACCAGAUGGGAAUUUCAGGACCCAAGAAAUAGAAAGUGGCUGCAGGGUUACAACUACUGUUGGAUUCCUGAGGUAGCACAGUGUCCAAACAGGAUUUCAGCACUACCCGUAUUGCUUAGAGCCCCAGCCAAAGAUGUGAGGUUUUGCCCUUUGGAGAAUCUGUGCCCCUGAACUCGGGGGCCUCUUUCCACAUCUUGGGGGCAGGCAAGGGCAGAGGGUGUGCCUAGGCCUGCGGAUCAGCAUGCGACAGAUUCCCCAACAUCCUUCCAGCUUGAAAGGGGAUUGCCCUGCUUCUAUUUAGAACCUAUAGGAAAGCAGAAGUUCUAGAUUGAAGUUAAAAUUGAUUCCCAGCCUCCAGGGGCUUUGGGCUACACCUGGAUGACCUUAAUUGACCCUAAGCAUGGGACAAACCACUUCCUGAGAGUAUUAGGAUGGUAUACAUCUUCUCUGGGGGCAAAGCAACAAGAUUUAUUUUUCAUCAUGGACCAAACACAUGGAUACCCACUAGAAACUGUGUAGUGAAUUUUGUUAACCCUGACAUAGGGACCAUGGUCUUUAGGUUAAAGCAUAAUAACAACAUAAUACAUAACAUAUAUAGCGAAUAUAUAUAUGUAUUAUAUGCAAUGAAUGUAAAUAUGAUUAUACCCAUCAUGGUCUUGGAGGAAACAGAUGACACACUUAAAA